rnacentral:rRNA from 1 species
GUGCCAGCCGCCGCGGUAAUACCGGCAGCCCGAGUGAUGGCCGAUAUUAUUGGGCCUAAAGCGUCCGUAGCUGGCCAGACAAGUCCGUUGGGAAAUCCACUCGCCCAACAGGUGGGCGUCCGGCGGAAACUGUGUGGCUUGGAACCGGAAGGCUCAGAGAGUACGUCCGGGGUAGGAGUGAAAUCCCGUAAUCCCGGACGGACUACCGAUGGCGAAAGCACUCUGAGAAGACGGCUUCGACAGUGAGGGACGAAAGCUCGGGUCUCAAACCGGAUUAGAUACCCCGGUAGUCC